GACGUAGGGCGCGAGCGUUGUCCGGAUUUAUUGGGCGUAAAGAGCUCGUAGGCGGCUCAUUGCGUCAACCGUGAAAACCUGCCGCUCAACGGUAGGCUUGCGGUUGAUACGGGUGGGCUGGAGUUCGGUAGGGGAGACUGGAAUUCCUGGUGUAGCGGUGAAAUGCGCAGAUAUCAGGAGGAACACCGGUGGCGAAGGCGGGUCUCUGGGCAUUAACUGACGCUGAGGAGCGAAAGCGUGGGGAGCAAACAGG
rnacentral:rRNA from 1 species